rfam:Devosia geojensis strain BD-c194 NODE_111, whole genome shotgun sequence.
GAGCGGCGCCGGGCCCCUCUGGCGGUGGUGAUCUAGUUCGCCCCGUGAUGUCGGAGCCGCUCC